AUGGGAACGCGAAGAACCUUACCUAGACUUGACAUCUCCUGAAUAGUGUAGAGAUACAUGAAGCCCUUCGGGGCAGGAAGACAGGUGGUGCAUGGUUGUCGUCAGCUCGUGUCGUGAGAUGUUGGGUUAAGUCCCGCAACGAGCGCAACCCUUAUUACUAGUUGCUACCAUUAAGUUGAGCACUCUAGUGAGACUGCCCGGGGUUAACCGGGAGGAAGGCGGGGAGUGACGUCAAAUCAUCAUGCCCCUUACUGUCUAGGGCAACACACGUGCUACAAUGGUGAGUACAGAUAGAUGCGAUACCGCAAGGUGAGCCAAACUCUAAAACUCAUCCCAGUUCGGAUUGUAGGCUGCAACUCGCCUACAUGAAGUUGGAGUUGCUAGUAAUCGCGAAUCAGAAUGUCGCGGUGAAUACG
rnacentral:rRNA from 1 species